AAUUACUAAAUGUUUAUGUAAUAAAACAAAGAAUAUAAAACAAAACUGAAACUAAAAUAGAGGCAUGUGUUCAGACAGUGAUCUGUCUCAGCUGUGGGACAUGGGCUCAGUCACACCUCUGUUUAAUUAGACCAUCACAGAGGAAAUACCCAGAGGUACACACACACACACACACACACACACACUUAUAUUCAUUACUCCAAUGCUUUAUAUAUUUAGAAAUGUGCUGGUCAGAUUCUGUGAUUUUUUUUUCUCCUGCUUUUCUGUAGGUAAUAUAACAUUUCCAUUGCUGCCCUUUGGUGAGUGAGUUCAGAGAGCAUAUUAUUGUUAUUAACAGUGUCUGCUGUCAGCUAUGAUACAACAUGCAUUGUGUGUGAAUCAAAACUGACCAAUCAGAGCACUGUCUUACCUCUACAGUAAUGUGGCAUGACCUACCAAACACUAGUGACCUGGUACCAUGGCCUUAAGCCAUUACCAACUCCUACAGCACUCCCAGUGCAGAUUCCCACAGGAGCAGAGUACCAACCUCUACAAUGACAUCAUCACCUCUUAUUAGAUCAACAGCAGCUCCUGAAACUACUGUCCCUGUGACGACCACCGCCACUGUUUCUGUGACAACCACACUCAUUAGUGAUCUCACAACUGCUGUGAACACCCAGGCAAAAGCUGUAACGGUAACCACACACACCAUCGCUCCCAUGGUGAAGGUGACAAUUUCACUGCCAACGACAAGCAUCCAGCAGCUCACUAAAGUGUCUCAUUCAGAAAAACCAGAGGACGCAGCAUAUGCGAGAGAGAGUGCGCUAUGAAUCAUAGACAUCUGAGCUGCUUACCUACUGUCCAUGUCAACAGCUCUCAAUACAGGUGCCAUCAUUCAGAGCAGAAGACACAGAGAGCAUGCGAGUCCUCAAUGACCCCUUAAGUGAACAUUUAUUCCAGCAAAUUAAAAUAGAGAUGGCCACUAGAUGGCACAAGAAACUUAUGAAAAAAGCUUGUACCGAGGCUUUGUGUCAGCCCAGAUCCAGCCCGCAUGGAUUUCACGUGGGUCAGAUAUGGACCAGAUC
ensembl:lncRNA